AUGGGUUUUUAAAAUGACACUAUGAAUGAAGUCAGAGGCAAGAAAACCUCUUAAAAAUGGCAGGUAGGAUCAAUUAAAAACAAAAACAAUGUACUUGCCACGUAACUACGUUAUACAACAAUUGAAGAGCCAUGUACGUAAAAUGAGUUGCACGUAAAUUUAACAAACAAAUAUUAGAUAAAGUCUUCUGAAGAGAUGAGCCAUUAACAGAGACUAUGAUGAGAAACUUCAGAGAUUCACCCAAAAUAUUGACUAUUAUACAGACAGGAGCAGAUUAGUGUAACUUAUUAGGUGAUUUACUACAACGUGUUUCGACCAGACAGGUAUUUCUCAGGUCAGUGUAACUUACUACAACGCGUUUCGACCAGACAGGUAUUUCUCAGGUCAGUGUAACUUACUACAACGCGUUUCGACCAGACAGGUAUUUCUCAGGUCAGUGUAACUUACUACAACGUGGUUCGACCAGACAGGUAUUUCUCAGGUCAGUGUAACUUACUACAACGCGUUUCGACCAGACAGGUAUUUCUCAGGUCAGUGUAAAUUACUACAACGCGUUUCGACCAGACAGGUAUUUCUCAGGUCAGUGUAACUUACUACAACGCGUUUCGACCAGACAGGUAUUUCUCAGGUCAGUGUAACUUACUACAACGCGUUUCGACCAGACAGGUAUUUCUCAGGUCAGUGUAACUUACUACAACGUGUUUCGACCAGACAGGUAUUUCUCAGGUCAGUGUAACUUACUACAACGCGUUUCGACCAGACAGGUAUUUCUCAGGUAGCAUUAAUAGGCCUUUUUAGUCUUCUGUCUAUAUUAAACCAUAUGACUUAGAGCACUCUAUAGCUCUAUGAACCAAACUUCUAGAACAUACCAUUCCUUGCCAAGGAGGAGGAGGCCCAAUGGUGUGGUGGAACUCUCUCA